AUUGAACGCUGGCGGCAGGCCUAACACAUGCAAGUCGAGCGGAUGAAGGGAGCUUGCUCCUGGAUUCAGCGGCGGACGGGUGAGUAAUGCCUAGGAAUCUGCCUGGUAGUGGGGGAUAACGUCCGGAAACGGGCGCCAAUACCGCAUACGUCCUGAGGGAGAAAGUGGGGGAUCUUCGGACCUCACGCUAUCAGAUGAGCCUAGGUCGGAUUAGCUAGUUGGUGGGGUAAAGGCCUACCAAGGCGACGAUCCGUAACUGGUCUGAGAGGAUGAUCAGUCACACUGAAACUGAGACACGGUCCAGCCUCCUAGGGGAGGGAGCAGGGGGGAAUAUGGGACAAGGGGCGAAAGCUUGCUCCAGCCAUGCCGGGGGUGUAAAGAAGUUUUUCGGAUUGUAAAGCUUUUUAAGUUGGGAGGAAGGGCAGUAAGUUAAUACCUUGCUGUUUGGACGUUACCAAAAAAAAAAGCACCGGCAAACUUCGUG
rnacentral:rRNA from 1 species